rnacentral:rRNA from 1 species
CAGUCGCCGCGGGAAUACGUAGGUGGCAAGCGUUGUCCGGAAUUAUUGGGCGUAAAGGGCUCGCAGGCGGUUUCUUAAGUCUGAUGUGAAAGCCCCCGGCUCAACCGGGGAGGGUCAUUGGAAACUGGGAAACUUGAGUGCAGAAGAGGAGAGUGGAAUUCCACGUGUAGCGGUGAAAUGCGCAGAGAUGUGGAGGAACACCAGUGGCGAAGGCGACUCUCUGGUCUGUAACUGACGCUGAGGAGCGAAAGCGUGGGGAGCGAACAGGAUUAGAUACCCCAGUAGUCCCUGUCUCUUAUAC